GAGGUGGGAGAGGGUGUGAGGAAGAGAGAGCAGCAGAGGUCAUGGCCUGGAGGUUCACUUACCCAUUGCACAGGACGGCGAAAACUGGAGAGGCCAGGCUGGUGGCAAGGAAAGAGGUUUACUAUCAAAAGGCAGCCAGACAAGGAGAUGGGGUUUAAAACUCAGAUCCACCUUCUUGGAGGGAAAAAGAUUACUCGUUCUGGAGGAAUCCAGCUGCCAUGUUGUGAGGAUGCACAAGCAGCCCUGAAGAUCACGAAAUAAACAAAGAGAGAACGUAUUAGAAAACACACAGGGCAGCUGUCCCUGGGAGUCUGGCACCCAGAGCUGCCACAGAACAACCUGUAAUUGUCAACAUCCACUCUCCUGAUUAACAUGGUUCAGACCCCAGGCUCGCCCUGUUGACAUUCUCCUUUGCUGGCUUGAUGAGGCAAGCUGCCAUAUGGAGAGGCCCAUGUGGCAAGAAACAGAGGGGCGCUUGCAGCCAACAGCCAGCAAGGAGCUGAGGUUCUCAGUCUGACAGCCCAUGAGGAAUCGAGUCCUGAACCUCCACGUGAGCUGGAAGCAGGCCUGCCCUGGUUGAGUCUCAGAUGACACCCCAGCCCUGACCGACAUCUUGGUUGCAGCCUUACGAGAGACCCUGAAGCAGAGGGUGCAGCUAAGCCAUAUCUGGGUUCCUGAGCACAGAAAUUGUGAGAUAGUAAAUCUGUCUUGUUUUGAACUGCUAAAUUUAUGGUUACUUAUAACUAACAUGGCAAUAGAGGAUCAUCUUGAAAUAUUAAAUGAUUCACAUUACUCCUAAAUUUGAACAUAUGUAGAUCUAGACGUAAAAUGCAUGAAGCGUGAUACGUUUCUUUACAUUGACUACCAGGCACUGAGCCCUAGGAUUGUUCAUAGUUUUAUUUUUUAUUAUUAUUAUUUUUUUUGGUGAGGAAGAUUGGCCCUGAGCCAUCAUCUGUGCCAAUCUUCCUCUAUUUUGUACAUGGGAUGCCACCACAGUGUGGCUUGAGGAGCGGUGUGUAGGUCUGCACCUGG
rnacentral:lncRNA from 1 species